GACGAACGCUGGCGGCGUGCUUAACACAUGCAAGUCGAACGGAAAGGCCCUGCUUUUGUGGGGUGCUCGAGUGGCGAACGGGUGAGUAACACGUGAGUAACCUGCCCUGGACUUUGGGAUAACUUCAGGAAACUGGGGCGAAUACCGGAUAGGAGCUCCUGCUGCAUGGUGGGGGUUGGAAAGGUUCGGCGGUUGGGGAUGGACGCGCGGCUUAUCAGCUUGUUGGUGGGGUGGUGGCUUACCAGGGCUUUGACGGGUAGCCGGCCUGAGAGGGUGACCGGCAAGAUUGGGACUGAUAUACGGCCCAGACUCCUACGGGAGGGAGCAGUGGGGAAUAUUGCAAAAUGGGCGGAAGCCUGAUGCAGCAACGCCGCGUGCGGGAUGACGGCCUUCGGGUUGUAAACCGCGUUCGCCUGGGACGAAGCGUGAGUGACGGUAAUGGGUAAAGAAGCACCGGCUAACUACGUG
rnacentral:rRNA from 1 species